GGCGGACGGGUGAGUAAUGCCUAGGAAUCUGCCUAGUGGUGGGGGAUAACGUUCGGAAACGGACGCUAAUACCGCAUACGUCCUACGGGAGAAAGCGGGGGAUCUUCGGACCUCGCGCCAUUAGAUGAGCCUAGGUCGGAUUAGCUAGUUGGUGAGGUAAUGGCUCACCAAGGCGACGAUCCGUAACUGGUCUGAGAGGAUGAUCAGUCACACUGGAACUGAGACACGGUCCAGACUCCUACGGGAGGCAGCAGUGGGGAAUAUUGGACAAUGGGCGAAAGCCUGAUCCAGCCAUGCCGCGUGUGUGAAGAAGGUCUUCGGAUUGUAAAGCACUUUAAGUUGGGAGGAAGGGCAGUAACCUAAUACGUUAUUGUUUUGACGUUACCGACAGAAUAAGCACCGGCUAACUUCGUGCCAGCAGCCGCGGUAAUACGAAGGGUGCAAGCGUUAAUCGGAAUUACUGGGCGUAAAGCGCGCGUAGGUGGUUCAGUAAGUUGGAAGUGAAAUCCCCGGGCUCAACCUGGGAACUGCUUUCAAAACUGCUGAGCUAGAGUACGGUAGAGGGUGGUGGAAUUUCCUGUGUAGCGGUGAAAU
rnacentral:rRNA from 1 species